rnacentral:rRNA from 1 species
AAUCAACGCUGGCGGCGUGCCUCAGACAUGCAAGUCGAACGAUUAAAGCUCUCUUCGGAGAGUGCAUAGAGUGGCGCACGGGUGAGUAACACGUAAGUAAUCUACCUUCGAGUGGGGAAUAACGUCCGGAAACGGACGCUAAUACCGCAUAAUGCAGCGGCAUCAUAAGAUGACAGUUGUUAAAGGAGCAAUUCGCUUGAAGAGGAGCUUGCGGCAGAUUAGCUAGUUGGUAAGGUAAUGGCUUACCAAGGCUACGAUCUGUAACCGGUCUAAGAGGACGGUCGGUCACACUGACACUGAAUAACGGGUCAGACUCCUACGGGAGGCAGCAGUCGGGAAUUUUGGGCAAUGGGCGAAAGCCUGACCCAGCAACGCCGCGUGAAGGAUGAAGUCUUUCGGGA